UGCUUCUUGGUGGGCUCACGACCGAGCACGUGAGGCGUGUGACUGAUCACACCCUGUGCCCAAACUCACCUGCUGGGCACAUGUGCCGACGGAGGUCUCUAUUUGGCCGCUAGGAUACUACCCUUCCCCAAGAACGUGACUGUACCUCAGGCCCGAUCUUAAACAGACCUCUCUGCCACUGGAUAUUUCUUAGAAAGGGUGUAACUCGUCACAUGCCGAGGAUGUCCCCAAGGGGUGUCAUUCGCUUCUCCACCUUGGCUGGCUUCCGUCUUGGCACAGUUCCCGUCCCCUCCGUUCCUGAUGGCCUGUCUCUCACCUCACGUGUCUUUGCGAACUGCCGCCAGCCCUCUCGGGAGUGGACCUGGAGCACGGGCCCAUCUCCCUGCAGCCUCCUGUCCCUGCCUCUCUCCCUUCCCCCCAGCGGGCUCCUCCCCGCUCCGGGCCCCAGAACGUUCUUCGGUCUGGAAACAAGGUUGACCUGGGAGAUGAUCUAAGCAUGUAAAUUCCAGGAAACGCAUGAGCCGGACACAUGCUCCUCGGACACGUUCUCAAAUUUCCCGGAUGUGAAUUUAGGCAACAAAGACAUUGGGUUUGCAGCUUGGGAAGCGAACGUUGCUGUGGGCCCGGCCCUGUGACCGGCUCCAGGCCACAGCAACAGGCUCCUCCAGCAGCGGGUGACGGCACCCUUCUGGCCCAGGACUGGGCAGGGGAUGGGGACAGGCCUGCCCUGGCCUUCAGAACAGCCCAGGCAGAAGAAGAAGCUGAGAAAGACACCCUCGUUUCACCCACUUCCUGUUCUCCAAAAGCUCACUUUUCAAAUUGC